UACGUAGGGUGCAAGCGUUGUCCGGAUUUAUUGGGCGUAAAGAGCUCGUAGGCGGCUUGUCGCGUCGAAUGUGAAAACUCGGGGCUCAACUCCGAGCUUGCAUUCGAUACGGGCAGGCUAGAGUUCGGUAGGGGAGACUGGAAUUCCUGGUGUAGCGGUGAAAUGCGCAGAUAUCAGGAGGAACACCGGUGGCGAAGGCGGGUCUCUGGGCCGAUACUGACGCUGAGGAGCGAAAGCGUGGGGAGCGAACAGG
rnacentral:rRNA from 1 species